UUGCUGAUUCUUAAAUUCCUUUAUCCUGGUAUGCCAAGAGAAAGAACUAGAGAGCUGAAGAAGGCUGUAGAAACUGAACAAGUAGCAGGAAGAGAAAGCAACCUUUGUUCGUCUGGCACAGGCGAGCUUUAGCGACUGUUAUUUAUCAGGGGAUUUCAGCAAUCAAAAAUGUAACGCAGUAACUCAGACUUUGCUUCUUAGUUACCUACACUUGGAAAAGAAGGCUUCUUCUGGCGUAGAACUUCUCUGCCCGUGUUUGGUGUAUGCCUCAUCAUUUUUUGCUGUCCUUUUGUACUUUUAUGGGCUCUUACUUUAUAAGGUGUGGUGUCAAACCAUGAAUGCCUUCAAUACAGGGACAACCUCUACCACCCAAGACUGUGCAUUAGAUCUGGAAAUGAUAACAGAUAAUGCAAGAGUAGAAGUUGACAAAAUUCUGAAGAAAGAAGAAGUUCUUGAUGUCCUUCUAGCUAAAUCAGAGGAUCUCAAGAAUUCAGUUGGAGUUUUCAAAAAAACACCACAUAAAACAACAUUAGCGUCUCAUUGUACUAGGACCCGAGUGUUGAUUGGCACUGCCGUCCUGAUGGUGGCUGUGGUUCUUCUUAUCUUGGUCAUUCUUUUUGCCACCAAUGUUAUUCCAACAUAAUGUCACUGUCUGCUGUUAUUCUUCUUUAGAAAGAAAUACUUGAUCCACCAUUAAGGUUUCCUAACUGAUGUCUUGUAUUCUUCCACUCUUGGCUACUUUAAAAUUUUGGACUAUGCCAGGCAGGCAACAUGUAAAGAGCUGAACUUCCUGUUAACUCAGUUAACUUAUGGGUACAGUUGUCAGGCAAAAACAGCCAAACUCAAGACCUGUGAAGAAUGGAGGAAGAAUUGAAGAAAUAGUUUAGACAGGGCAUACUAAACAGCACUUCAAGGUACCAUGAAGAACUGCCUCCUUUACUACUAUUGUCUAUGUCUGGUUUAACAGCAGAGAUACAUAGCAGGUAUACUCACAUUGACUGGCUGGCUGGCAUCUAGAGCUGGGCCUGGAGAGAUACCUAGGUGGAAGGAAAAGAAUUAUGAAGGCAACGGCGACCUUUGGGUACUGAAGAUUCAUGUUGCAGUUCCAGAUCUCUGGUUCUGGUACCGGAUGUUGAGGCUUUACCAGGUUUGCUUUACCUGUCACAGGCCACUGUCCCACUGACCAGUAUUUAAAAUCUCCAACCCUGCUUAAACCUUCAAUGAAAACCUUAACUUGACACCUUCUUCAGCUGAACCUUUGAGACCAGAUAAAUGUAAAAAUCGAGAGCAGACCAAGUUAAUAUCAAGACAGGUCAUUUUAUAUAACCACAGAAAAUAAAACAGAAAGAUAAAUGAUUAAAUGCAAAUAAUAUCUAAUGUAAUACUUUAACUUGUUACCUGCUUUAACUGUUAACUUCUAUAGUACAAUUAAAAUGUAACAAAGAAAAUUAUUAUUUUUUUUAUUUUAUUGAUUUUAUUGUAAUCAUUCCAUACAAAUAGAUCAAUUUUUACAAAAAAAUAGGAUUGAAAACAAAUCAACCCCCACCCCUGAUAAAGAGAGCAUGGCC